GACGAACGCUGGCGGCGUGCCUAAUACAUGCAAGUCGAGCGGACUAAGAAGAGCUUGCUCUUUGAAGUUAGCGGCGGACGGGUGAGUAACACGUGGGCAACCUGCCUGUAAGCUUGGGAUAACUCCGGGAAACCGGUGCUAAUACCGAAUAGAACAGAGGACCGCAUGGUCCUUUGUGAAAAGACCUUGUGUCACUUACAGAUGGGCCCGCGGCGCAUUAGCUUGUUGGUGGGGUAACGGCCUACCAAGGCGACGAUGCGUAGCCGACCUGAGAGGGUGAUCGGCCACACGGGGACUGAGACACGGCCCAGACUCCUACGGGAGGCAGCAGUAGGGAAUCUUCCGCAAUGGACGAAAGUCUGACGGGGCAACGCCGCGUGAGCGAUGAAGGUUUUCGGAUCGUAAAGCUCUGUUGUUAGGGAAGAACCGCCGGGAUGACCUCCCGGUCUGACGGUACCUAACGAGAAAGCCCCGGCUAACUACGUGCCAGCAGCCGCCGUAAAAC
rnacentral:rRNA from 1 species